ACCAGACUCCUACGGGAGGCAGCAGUGGGGAAUAUUGCACAAUGGGGGGAACCCUGAUGCAGCGACGCCGCGUGGGUGAAGAAGCGCCUCGGCGCGUAAAGCCCUGUCAGCAGGGAAGAAAAUGACGGUACCUGAAGAAGAAGCCCCGGCUAACUACGUGCCAGCAGCCGCGGUAAUACGUAGGGGGCAAGCGUUAUCCGGAUUUACUGGGUGUAAAGGGGGCGCAGACGGCGAUGCAAGCCAGGAGUGAAAGCCCGGGGCCCAACCCCGGGACUGCUCUUGGAACUGCGUGGCUGGAGUGCAGGAGGGGCAGGCGGAAUUCCUGGUGUAGCGGUGAAAUGCGUAGAUAUCAGGAGGAACACCGGUGGCGAAGGCGGCCUGCUGGACUGCAACUGACGUUGAGGCCCGAAAGCGUGGGGAGCAAACAGGAUUAGAUACCCGCGUACC
rnacentral:rRNA from 1 species